rnacentral:rRNA from 1 species
GUCGAGCGCCCCGCAAGGGGAGCGGCAGACGGGUGAGUAACGCGUGGGAAUCUACCCAUCACUACGGAACAACUCCGGGAAACUGGAGCUAAUACCGUAUACGUCCUAUUGGAGAAAGAUUUAUCGGUGAUGGAUGAGCCCGCGUUGGAUUAGCUAGUUGGUGGGGUAAUGGCCUACCAAGGCGACGAUCCAUAGCUGGUCUGAGAGGAUGAUCAGCCACACUGGGACUGAGACACGGCCCAGACUCCUACGGGAGGCAGCAGUGGGGAAUAUUGGACAAUGGGCGCAAGCCUGAUCCAGCCAUGCCGCGUGAGUGAUGAAGGCCCUAGGGUUGUAAAGCUCUUUCAACGGUGAAGAUAAUGACGGUAACCGUAGAAGAAGCCCCGGCUAACUUCGUGCCAGCAGCCGCGGUAAUACGAAGGGGGCUAGCGUUGUUCGGAUUUACUGGGCGUAAAGCGCACGUAGGCGGACUAUUAAGUCAGGGGUGAAAUCCCGGGGCUCAACCCCGGAACUGCCUUUGAUACUGGUAGUCUCGAGUCCGGAAGAGGUGAGUGGAAUUCCGAGUGUAGAGGUGAAAUUCGUAGAUAUUCGGAGGAACACCAGUGGCGAAGGCGGCUCAUGGUCCGGUACUGACGCUGA